CAGCCGCCGCGGUAAAACCAGCACCUCAAGUGGUCAGGAUGAUUAUUGGGCCUAAAGCAUCCGUAGCCCGUUUUGUAGUUUUCGGUUAAAUCCAUGCGCUUAACGUAUGGGCUGCCGGGAAUACUGCAUAACUAGGAAGUGGGAGAGGUAGACGGUACUCGGUAGGAAGGGGUAAAAUCCUUUGAUCUAUUGAUGACCACCUGUGGCGAAGGCGGCCUACCAGAACACGUUCGACGGUGAGGGAUGAAAGCUGGGGGAGCAAACCGGAUUAGAUACCCGGGUAGUCCCAGCUGUAAACUAUGCAAACUCAGUGAUGCAUUGGCUUAUGGCCAAUGCAGUGCUGCAGGGAAGCCGUUAAGUUUGCCGCCUGGGAAGUACGUACGCAAGUAUGAAACUUAAAGGAAUUGGCGGGGGGAGCACCA
rnacentral:rRNA from 1 species